AGUGAACGCUGGCGGUAGGCCUAACACAUGCAAGUCGAACGGCAGCACCGUAAGAGCUUGCUCUUACGGGUGGCGCGUGGCGGACGGGUGCGGAAUACACCGGAAUCUACUUUUUCGUGGGGGCUAACGUAGGGUAACUUACGCUAAUACCGCAUACGACCUACGGGUGAAAGCAGGCGAUCUUCAGGCCUGCCGAGAGUGGAGUGGCCGAUGUCGGAUUCGCUCGUUGGCGGGGGAAAGGCCCACCAAGGCGACGGUCCGGAGCUGGUCUGUGAGGGGGAGCAGCCACACUGGGACUGAGACACGGCCCAGACUCCUGCGGGAGGCAGCAGUGGGGAAUAUUGGACAAGGGGCGCAAGCCUGAUCCAGCCAUGCCGCGUGAGUGAUGAAGGCCUUAGGGUUGUAAAGCUCUUUUGUCCGGGACGAUAAUGACGGUACCGGAAGAAUAAGCCCCGGCUAACUUCGUG
rnacentral:rRNA from 1 species